UACGUAGGGUGCGAGCGUUAAUCGGAAUUACUGGGCGUAAAGCGUGCGCAGGCGGUUAUGUAAGACAGAUGUGAAAUCCCCGGGCUCAACCUGGGAACUGCAUUUGUGACUGCAUAGCUGGAGUGCGGCAGAGGGGGAUGGAAUUCCGCGUGUAGCAGUGAAAUGCGUAGAUAUGCGGAGGAACACCGAUGGCGAAGGCAAUCCCCUGGGCCUGCACUGACGCUCAUGCACGAAAGCGUGGGGAGCAAACAGG
rnacentral:rRNA from 1 species